UGCAUGGUUGUCGUCAGCUCGUGUCGUGAGAUGUUGGGUUAAGUCCCGCAACGAGCGCAACCCCUAUUGCUAGUUACCAUCAUUAAGUUGGGGACUCUAGCGAGACUGCCAGUGAUAAACUGGAGGAAGGUGGGGAUGACGUCAAAUCAUCAUGCCCCUUAUGACCUGGGCUACAAACGUGAUACAAUGGCUGGAACAAAGGGAUGCGAAGCAGUGAUGUGGAGCGAAACCCAUAAAAACAGUCUCAGUUCGGAUUGAAGUCUGCAACUCGACUUCAUGAAGUCGGAAUCGCUAGUAAUCCGCGGAUCAGAACGACCGCGGUGAAUACGUUCUCGGGGUUU
rnacentral:rRNA from 1 species